rnacentral:misc_RNA from 1 species
UAGGGUGUCAUGGCUGCUCUGCA